rnacentral:piRNA from 1 species
UGGCUUAACCGAGUCCUACAUAGAUGU